rnacentral:lncRNA from 1 species
ACACAGAUUACUAGCGCCUCUGGAAGUAGGGCAAGCUCGUUUAUUUCCUCUCCAACAUAGCCUCGGGCCAUCAGAGCGUCUCAUGUCAGGGUCCCUGCCGAGCAAGCUGCAGAAUGAAAACACUGCGAAUAAGAAAGGUCACUGCAUCCGCUCUGCACACUUACUUCUCACCUGAAAUCUCUGCUUCACUGCACUGCUUGCAUCUCUGCAACGACCUGGCUCAGGCUGUGAACACUGCCUGAGUCGAUGUUCCAGCAGGAGGGAGAAGAAAUCUAUGACUACUGCGCAUAUGCGUGUGUACUUACAGAUUAUUGCCUCAGGUCCGUGGUCCAGCGUUGUGACAAGCUGUCCAUCUGAGGUUCAUGCUUCCUUCAAUUCAAUGCUGCAAGGUACAGGCUGACUGAAAGAAGACCAGCAAUUGGUUGAUUAAUACCAUUGAAGAGGCGUGUCUUCUCCUCCCACAAUAUUAAGGAGCUAUUGUGCAGGUUAUCCUAAUGUUUGACUAGCCCUUCCUGUGUAUCUAAGGCUGAAUCCAACAGCCACUUUUGCCUCACCAGCUAUUCACUGUUUAUAACCCCAGCACUUGAAGUACCAGAGGGUUCAGAGGGAGUCAGUUAUGAAUCAAGGAGAAAAGCAUGGUUGGAAUGAAAAGCUCAGCGGCUGAUGGUCUCCGUUCCUUCGAAAGCCAAGUUGAGGAUGCUGAAAUCCCCUUAUUGUCUUUGGUACCUCAGUGUUCCUAUUUGUGAAAGGCUGAUAAAGAUGCCAGGGAUUCUGGAAAAAGAAAUGGAAUGCAUAUCGACUGGCCACCCAGUAAAACAGAUUUCAGAUGCAAAUAGAAACAAAAAGCUGGGGGAAGUAUGAAGAGUUUUAAGGAUAAAAGAAGAAAAAAAACCUGAAAAGAUAAUCCUUUUAAGAAGCUGAUUUUUUCUUAGUCAUUCCCAAAGUAAGAGGGCCAGGGUAAUACUGCCAAUGCUUAACUCCAAAAUAGAUAAAAGGUUAAAAAAAAAAAAAAGGCUGCUCUAUUGAGGAAAAAAGUCCUGAAAUAACCUAUUACUGGUGUUCAGAAGUCAACUUGUCCAUGAAGACAAGGUCAUCAUUCAUCUUUAUAAAAAGAGACACUGAACAAAGACAAAUAAGUUAAAGCAUUUACUUUUACAUAACACCAGGACAGGUAAAAAAAAAAAAAAAUAGCUAUAAUUCACAGGCCUUGAGCAUGACAGAGAAAUUUAAAGCUUUAGGAGACGUCCUAUGAAAUGCUACACUUCUGGUUUCAACAAAUGCUUGGAGACAUCAUGAAAGUCCUUUUCAUAUGGACAGAAAAUUUUGUUCACCAUUUCUUUUAAAUUCUUUAAAAACCUUUCUUUCUUUCUUUCUUUCUUUCUUUUUUUCAAAAUCCCCUUCAGAUUACUCUGUGUCUUGACCUAAAAUCAGAGUCAAAUGAUUCACAGCUUUAGGAGCUUACAUCUAAUUUUACUACCUUUAACCUUAGUAUUUAUCAACUUCAACAAAGAACAAUGCAUUACUCUAACAAUAGUAGACCUUACUGAUUCUGUGAGCUCUCCAUUUGGCUUUUGAAUAUAAUAGCCUUUGUAUGGUUCUUUUAAAUUGACCUAUACAUAUACAGAGGCACAAAUUCCUCCAAAAUGAAUAAUAGAAAGAAAAAUUAAUGCAUUCAUGCAAUGAAAACUUGACAUAAAUAUAUCCCUAAUUAUGGUGGUAAAUGCAUAGGAGACUAGGGCCAUAGAUUAACCUGUAGUAAGAAUAAGAUUUCUGCAGAAUCUCCUGUUUAUCAAAAAAAUUAUGGAAAUUUGAAUUGUACAUCAUGCUAUAUACAAGUUUCUUUUCAUAUUAUAAUGAUAUUUUCCUCCCAAAUUUCCUAGUUGGAUGGCAUCCAUCACCAUAGCAAAACAGAAAGAAAGCCCACAAGACUUUUGAUUAAAUCUUCUGGCUAUUUUCAGGCCAAGUGUUUUGUUUUCUCUUUUGAAUUAUUCAAAUCUCCCUGCCCAGUCAUGCCCUACACUUUGCAAAAGUGUAAUACUAAGAAAUCUUAUAAUUUUUUAUUACUUGCAGAUUUUUCUGGGGCAGGAAUAUCAUUUAAAAUGUUCCCUAAGGAGAAACCAAGUGAGAGGGGAAUUUUCCUCUGAAUUUUCAAUUGUAGUUUAUAGUGAAUGGGAAAAUCACUUCUCACUUAGAUCUACAUGGCUAUUUGUGAGCAGAAAAUAGUUUUAAUUAUUCUGCCUAUGCAACCAAGAUUUUCUGGGACAAUCCCAAUUUCUUUCUUUUCAAUAAAUGUGAAUUUCCAUUACACUUGCAGGAAAUUGUCCAACACACACACUCACAUAGGUGAUUAAAGCCCAUUGUAGAAAGCUGUUCUCUGUACCCAUGUGGAUAUUGGUAAACAACUGGAAACAAGUUAAAUGCUCUUCAGCAGGGGGAAUAGUUUAAGAAAUUUCUGUACAUGCAUGUACUAUAACACCAAGCAGAAUCAGGUAGAUCUCCAUGUACUAGUCUGGGAAAAUAGUCAAGAUACAUUGUUUGUUGAAAAAUAUCAAGUUAUAGAACAGAUGUUUAGUAUACUCCCAUUUGUCUCACACUUUGAAAAAUUCUACCAUAUGUAUUUGUAAAGGGUUAGAAAAUCUCCGGCAGGACAGGUCAGAAACAAAGCCCCAAAUCAGCUCUGUUGUUGGGAGGCAGGGUUAGGGAUAAAUGGAGGUUUACUUGUAAGUCGUAUUUCCACAUCAUCUCUGUGAACUAAACCCUCCCUGAUUCCUCCCAAUUCUCACUGCUUCCCACUAUGUUGGAGAUCCUGUCAUGUCAUAACUUACACAGCAGUGGCCACAAGAUGUGGGUUUGCAUGAGACUGGCAUGAGAUGGUUGGAAAAAUAAAGACGGUGGGAGUUUCCACCAUGGUACAGUGGGCUAAGGAUCACUGUGGCUGUGUGGGUUCUAUCCCCCCACCUGGUGCAGUAGGUUAAAUGAUCUGGCGUUGCUGCAACUGCAGCGUAAGUCAUAGCUGGGGCUUGGAUUCAUUCCCUGGCCUGGGAACUUCCAUAUGCUGUGGGUGUAGCAAAAAAAAAAGGAAAGAAAAGAAGGUAGAGGUCACAGAACUUAAUUAGCUACGAGGUUGACUGUUGAGGGCUACAGCUAUGGGUCAGGGGUGGUGUUUAAGAGAGAUGAGCUAUUCUCAACAAUGUCAAGAAAAGUCCUAAUCAGGAGUUCCUGUCAUGACUCAGCCAUUAACGAAUCUGACUAGCACCCAUGAGGACGCAGGUUCAAUCCCUGGCCUUGCUCAGCGGGUUAAGGAUCCGGUGUUGCCGUGAGCUGUGGCGUCGGUCGCAGACGCUGCUCAGAUCCUGUGUUGCUGUGGUUGUGGUGUAGGCCGGCAGCUUUAGCUCCAAUUUGACCCCUAGCCUGGGGAACCUCCAUGUGCCAUGGAUGCGGCCCUAAAAAGAAAAAAAAAAAAAAAAAAA